GGCCAACCUGAAUUACAGAGCAAAACCCUGUCUCAAAAAAAAAAUUCCAUGUUACUGAGCAUACAGAGAAGUAGGUAAUCACAUGAGGGUCCUGCUGUACAUACCUAUCCACAUGUAUGUAUACUGUUAUGGUAUCUAUCACAUUUUAAAAUGCACAUUGCGUUUGAAGCCAGAAAUUCUACUUCUAACUAUCCAAGACUCAUAGAGAAGGUACUUGCUGCAGUAGUUCAGCCUCCCAGAGUGCUGGGAUUACAGGUAUAGACCACCCCGGCAAGCUGAGAAAAGACUCACUUUUAAGUAACAAGGACAAGUUACGAAAUACUUUUUACAAUAUGAUUUCCUUCGUAUUUAAAACACCCUGUAAAACAUUGCUAUAUAUGUAGUGUGAUCUCAGGUGAAUAAAUGAGCAAGUGAGGACUACCUACUAAUCUUCAGAGAGCUAACUCAAACUUGCUCUGUUUUUUUGUCUCAAAUAUUACAUACUAAUUCUAAAACAAAGAGUGAAAGACCCUUCCCAGCAUAAUUUUUACCAAGGAAUAGCCUGUCAAGCGGACCGGUCCACCAUGUCUCUCCCUUUAACUUCAGAGCCCCAACCUCUGUCCAGAUGGUAUUCUCUGUCUCUUGCAUCCUCACCUUGGGACCAGUGUGCAGAGCAGAGUCAGUGGGCAGAGGCUGUGCAUGUGCUCUCUUCUUAGUUACAUGUCUGGAUUCGUUAAUCCCAUCUUCCCGGGGAGUGGGUAUCUACACAUACAGCAGCUUAAGCGCUCUGACUGCCCCUUGAGGGUUCUCCUAGGUGACUGUGAAAGUGCUGCUCCAUUCUUACCCUGGAGCCACGCCUGGGUCCGGCUUCCCCUCACUGUGGUCGCCCCUGGGGCUUCCCGCUCCCCCUGCCUGAGCUGCUUUGGUAAGUGUUCCAGCACAUCUCAUUUUGGUUUUUUUUUCUUUGAUCUUUGAGGAAGGAAAGAUUUUCCCUAUGUGUUCAACUUUUAAUUCCCCUUCUGCACAUUUUUUUUUAUCUUUUACUCAUUGGCCUAAUAAAGUUUGUUCUUAUCCUUUUAUAUGAACUGUCCACAUUAAAAGUUCUGUCGUAGUGUAUUCUGCAAAUACUUCCCUAGCUUUGCUGUUUGUGCAAAUUUCUUCAUGGCUUUUCCCCAAAACCUUUCGAUUUACCGAUGGGCCUGUCUUUUCCUUUCUUUGCUGAUUGUGUUUAUGAAUUCUUAUCUGUGUCCCCCUCCCCAUGUUCGUGUUAAUGACCUGUAGUAGACUUGUCUUUUAUCAUUUUUCCUUCAAUUACUGUUCCCUUUAAAAUUGUUUUCUUGUUGCAAGGCAUCAUUUCAACAACUGUUAUUUUGUUUACCUGCUUACCUAAUGUGAUUUCCUUAUACAAUGGGAUGUGUGAUUCCUGGGAAAAUUCUUACAAUUUAGCUUUCAGAUUUCUGCUUUACUUAGUUACUGAUUACAUGCCUUCCUAUCUGUGUUUUGCUUAGUAACCAUUAGUUAAUCCUUUUAUCCGAAGAGAACUACCUCUGUACUUACAUAAUAAAAAUUGUCAUAAGAUCUCUAAAAGUGAUGUUUUCCAAAUCUAGCCUCUUCCUCCCUCCUUCCCUCCCUCCCUUUCUCUUCCUGCCUUCCUCCCUGUCUCCUCUCUCUGGUGUGUAAUACUGGGGACUGAGUCCAAGGCCUUCACACUGAGCUACUUCGGUAACCCUUCAGAUUUUUUGAGACGGGGCCCCACUAAGUUGUCCAGGUGGGACUCAAACUUGCAAUCCUUCUGCUCUUGAUUAAUUUCAAUCAAGUUUAAACAGUCACAUUUUUGGUGACUACUGUAUUGUGCGGUGCACCCACAGAACUCCAUGGCGUAAUGACAGGGCUGCCCUCUACUUCCCAGAUCCACUCUAGGUGAGUCUGGCUGGCUAAUCAAGGAAAUAGAGAUAACACCUGUGACCCUUGCUGCCCAUCCAAAUCCACCCUACCGUAACUGUGUUUUGUGUCCUCUAAUUUUAAAAACCCCAUGUUUCUGAAUGUUUGCUCAUAUUUAACAAUUCUCCUUUAUUGCCUUCUUCUCAGUUACAACUAGGCUGUUUCCAGGAUUGAGCACAUUUAGGACAUCGGAAGCUCCUCACCAACCCCUUUUGCCUCCAGAGCUGUUUUUGCCAUACCGUUUUGGUUCCUGUGUUUGUUAUUUUACUGUCAAGCUGUUCCAAGGGAAUAAGCACCUGAAUUAACCCCAGCAACCUACUAUAAGAGUCUCAAAAAAGGAGCUGCGGGUCAAACACUUGCUGCAUUUAAACCCCACUGCCCCGGCCCCCGGCGGCCCCAUCCAUCCAUGGAGUCACAGCCACUGUGGCCCCGUGAUGUCGUCCCUUGCAGCCUGGGAGGCAAAGCUGACUUCCAGACCCUCGGCCUAAGAUGGGAUUUCAAGCAAAGCGUGUGUGAACACUUCUCCUUGCUGUUCCCAGAACUCAGGGGGAACAAGGAGAAAAAUACUGAAGAGGAAGAGGAGAGGAAGAAGGAAGGGGAAGGGAUGAAAAGGGCGAGCAAGAAGGAAACUACAGGAAUGCCUUCGGGCCCUCCCUGACUUGCCCCUUAUUACAUCUGAGACAAGGUAGCUUUCUUCUGUUACUCAAUUUUUAACAAGAGAAUAAGUAUGUAGUUGUGGUAUAAAAACAAUGAUCUUUACGUUUUUGUACGUCUUUUCCCAUAGAUUUUCAAUGCAGAUCUCCAGCCACCAUGCUCUAGUCAUUUCCCAUGUUUUCACGUGUUUUUUUAAAAACACCCCCAUUACCCUGCUAUUGGCAAUGUAUUUUCCUGUCGGCCUUAGAAACCCUUCUCAUUUUAAUUCAUGUUAUUGUUCUAAAUAAUCUUUGUAUUCCUUUUAUAUACACUGCAAAUUGUCUUCCCUACCUAGAAUAUAUUUUGUAGAAUCAGAAAUCCAAAAUGGUUCUAAGUACACAAGUUGUCAUUAUUCAGAAUAGCAUCCAGCUUGUGUUUCUUAGACCUGUAGACUUUCCAAGCCGGGAUUGGCUAUAUAAUGAGUGAGAGCCCAUAUACAAUGAGCAUGAAAGGCUUUCUGUUCACAAUUAUCAUGACUGAAGUGAGUGUGGCCUUUCGUGUGAUUGCACAUGGGCACAUCCAUGAUGCAGGCCCCGUUUCUCACUUUAUUAUGUCACACUGGGACUGGGAAUACAGCACCCUUCAGGCAAAACUAUGUGUCCUCGCAUUCAUCCCACUUCCUUUCUUGAUUCUUUCUUUGGAGGAAAAUCCAAUGUUACUUUUUUAGACCCAUAGGGAAUUCAGAACCUGCCUGUGUUAGGAGGCCGAGGGAGGGAUCUUGUUCAAGGAACACCAAGAAUUUCGAGGAAUGUGGUAUAUGUCCCAGUAUGUGUGUUGGACAUGUCACUCUGGCAGCCAAGGACAAAGGGGUGAAUAUGGAUUUGAGGAACAGACUCAACCAGAGGUCACGAGAAGCUGGUGACCCAUAGGAUGUGGGAAGAACAAGAAAACAGGGAAUAAGGGAGAAUCGUCUGCUCGGAACUCGAGGGGCUCGCUGGUCGUGGUGACAGUCACCGAGGAAGGGGAAGCAGGCUUGGUGGGAGGCGUACUACCAUUUGGAAAUGUUUAGUGUGAGUUGCAGUCAUUUCUCUCUUUUUAUUUUAAAGAUUUAAAAAACUAACAAAACAAGAAUGAAGACAGAAUCAAAA